UGCUCAAAGAACCACUUUAUUGGGCAUCGGAGUGGGAAGGAAGGAGAGCGCAUGCACUGUCCCUCAACCGACCAACCUACUGAAAGAAACGAAGAGUCUUAGAGCCAAUCAAAAGGCGCGGGGGGGUUACUGACAGACAUCAAGUUGAAGAAAGAAAAGAUUUGAAUAAAGGGUGUGCAUAACUGCAUUCCUAUUUGUAGCCAGCUUUUUUGUCAUCAUCUAUCCUACUUUAGACACAUGCAAAGACCCAGCUCUCUGGAGAAGGCUCUAAUGCUGGAAAAGAAGGAAAGGGAUGAAGAAGGUGACCAACAGAAAGAUGGAUAAAUUCAAUUAUCCUGAGUAAAUUCACCAUUGGGAGACUUGAAAGAAUAAGUUAGGGAUAAAGUGUUGUGGAGAAAAACUAUGUGGUUGCUAGAAAUGAAAAUAAUUUAAUAGCAUAUAAUCACUCUACCGAUGAACAAUUCUAGAGAAAUUAAAAGCUUUCCAUAUUCUUGACCUUCAGAUUAGCCUGAUAAAUGUUUUUGAUAGGGGGGGGGGUUGUAACCAAUUCACAUUUGUUUUGGGAGUUUCCAUUCUUACACUAGUUCCACUUGACAAUUUGAAGCUAAAUUUUAAUAAAAUAGAGGAGCAGCAAUUGCUAGAUUGCAAUUUGCACCUAUCAAAGAGCAUCCGAAAAGCCUAAUUUGAAUGUUUAUAACUUUUUUUCCAUUACCUAUCAAGUUAGGGAUAUCCACAAUGAGGAUUACUGUAAAAGUCAAAAUGUCAGCUGCAAUCGUGCUUGAAGGCUUGUCCUUUUUUAUAUUCAAUUGCAUGACUUUUUGUCCUCUUCUACACAAACACUGGAUCAAAUGCAAAUCCUGUGGGUCUGGUGUUUUACUAUUUCCUGCUACAUUCUUGGAUUUAUUUUCAAUUUUGCUGAAGAAUUCUGCAUAAUUCAAAAGCUUAUACUGUAUGCUGUUUGAUUAUGUUUAAUUAACUAAAAAAAUUUAAAUUU